rnacentral:rRNA from 1 species
GAAGGAAUGCGGGAGCUACACAUGCAGUCGAGGGGCAUCACGAGGUAGCAAUACUUUGGUGGCGACCGGCGCACGGGUGAGUAACGCGUAUGCAACCUACCCUGUACAGGGGGAUAGCCCGGAGAAAUUCGGAUUAAUACCCCAUAAAGAUAUCGAGAGGCAUCUUUUGAUAUUUAAAGUUUCGACGGUACGGGAUGGGCAUGCGUAACAUUAGCUAGUUGGUAGGGUAACGGCCUACCAAGGCGACGAUGUUUAGGGGUCCUGAGAGGGUGAUCCCCCACACUGGUACUGAGACACGGACCAGACUCCUACGGGAGGCAGCAGUGAGGAAUAUUGGUCAAUGGGCGUAAGCCUGAACCAGCCAUCCCGCGUGAAGGAAGACGGCGCUAUGCGUUGUAAACUUCUUUUCCAGAGGAAUAAAAUUUUGUACGAGUACGGAACUGAAGGUACUCUGGGAAUAAGCAUCGGCUAACUCCGUGCCAGCAGCCGCGGUAAUACGGAGGAUGCGAGCGUUAUCCGGAUUUAUUGGGUUUAAAGGGUGCGUAGGCGGAUUAAUAAGUCAGUGGUGAAAACCUUCAGCUUAACUGGAGAACUGCCAUUGAUACUGUUAGUCUUGAGUACGGUCAAGGUAGGCGGAAUGUGUAAUGUAGCGGUGAAAUGCUUAGAUAUUACACAGAACACCGAUUGCGAAGGCAGCUUACUGGGCCAUUACUGACGCUGAUGCACGAAAGCGUGGGGAGCGAACAGGAUUAGAUACCCUGGUAGUCCACGCCGUAAACGAUGAUCACUCGCUGUUAGCGAUACACAGUUAGCGGCUAAGCAAAAGCAUUAAGUGAUCCACCUGGGGAGUACGGCCGCAAGGCUGAAACUCAAAGGAAUUGACGGGGGCCCGCACAAGCGGAGGAACAUGUGGUUUAAUUCGAUGAUACGCGAGGAACCUUACCUGGGCUUAAAUGUAGAGUGCAUGAGUAGAAAUACUUCUUUCCUUCGGGACUCUUUGCAAGGUGCUGCAUGGUUGUCGUCAGCUCGUGCCGUGAGGUGUCGGUUAAGUCCCAUAACGAGCGCAACCCUUAUCGUAGUGCCAGCGGGUAAUGCCGGGAACUCUACGAAACUGCCGUGUAACGUGAGAGGUGGGAUGACGUCAAUCAGCACGCCCUUAUGUCAGGCUACACACCGUUGUUAACAAUGGCCCGGUACAGAGGCC